rnacentral:rRNA from 1 species
GACGAACGCUGGCGGCGUGCUUAACACAUGCAAGUCGAACGGAAAGGCCCUGCUUUUGUGGGGUGCUCGAGUGGCGAAAGGGUGAGUAACACGUGAGUAACAUGCCCUUGACUUUGGGAUAACUUCAGGAAACUGGGGCUAAUACCGGAUAGGAGCUCCUGAUGCAUGGUGGGGGUUGGAAAGUGUCGGCGGUUGGGGAUGGACUCGCGGCUUAUCAGCGUGUUGGUGGGGUAGUGGCUUACCAAGGCUUUGACGGGUAGCCGGCCUGAGAGGGUGACCGGCCACAUUGGGACUGAGGUACGGCCCAUACUCCUACUGGAGGCAGCAGUGGGGAAUAUUGCACAAUGGGCGGAAGCCUGAUGCAGCAACGCCGCGUGCGGGAUGACUGCCUUCGGGUUGUAAACCGCUUUCGCCUGUGACGAAGCGUGAGUGACGGUAAUGGGUAAAGAAGCACCGGCUAACUACGUG